CUUCCGGGGGCGAGCUCACAUCCGGCCCGGACGGACAUGCGCUGCAGCGCCCCCGCGCGGGCCGGAGGAGCGGAACGCAGGUGGAGCAAUGGGGAGAUGCUGAGUCGGUGGGGAGAGGAGGCAGAGCACAUCUUUGGGUCAAGACGAGAUGGAGAGAUCAGUGGAAGUCAGCGGAACCAUCUAGGCUACACCAAUACAUCAAUGACCCAUCCCAAAAGCAGUGGACAACCCUCAACCGCUUGAGAACAGACAUCGGAUGCUAUGGAGUAGCGACGAAGAGGUGGGGCCUAGUGGACAGCGCCUCCUGCAAGUGUGGGGACCCAACACAGACAGUGGAGCACAUUAGUCACCAGUUGCCCCAAACAUCAGCCCCGAAUGGUGUACGAGGUCUGAUUGACCUGGACGAUGACACGUUGGCCUGGCUCGCCUCAACAGAGCUGCAGGUCUAAAGGACAUACGACAGAAGAAGAAGAUCUUUGAAAUGUGGGAGGAAACCAGAGCACUCUGGAGAAAUCCAUGUGGCCAGAGAGAAUGUGCAAACUCUACAGGCAGCACUGGUCGGAGUCAAACUUAGUCACCGGUGCAAUUAGGCAGCAACACGAUCUGUUGCCCAUCUACUGGAAUUGAUCCAAACAAUUAUUUCUGCACGUUGUCGACAAAUUAGACUAGCAUUUGAGAAAUGCUGAAGUCACCGUGAAUCACCUUUUAAUUAAUCCUUUAAAUGAUCCAACGGAAUUAAUGCAAACUCUCUGUUGAAAUAUGGUACUGUGUCAGUGUUUCAAAAUAUUAAAUUCAUUUUCACCCAUUUCAGAAAAAGCAGUUGGUCAAAUAUUUUGCAAUGGAAAUGUCUAGUUAAUGUAAUUGAUUAACAGAUAACUAUGUCAAGAAUUUCUGCCUCUCAUAGCUAUUUGACCACUUCUUUGACAGAUGUACUUAUUUAAUAAAAUGUUUUUUUCUGCUGCAACUG